AGCUUUGUGCAGUCACAGUAUCAUAGCCAAUAAGGUUUAUCUGAGGUGAGAUUAUUGCUAAUUGAAAACUUAAACUGAUCCA
rnacentral:snRNA from 1 species